rnacentral:tRNA from 1 species
GGUUAUGGCUCAGUGGUAGAGCACUUGCCUAGCAUGUGUGAAGCACUGGGUUCGAUUCUCAGCACCA